AGGUUAGAAAAAUGGGUUCCAAAAAGAAAUCUGAAAGUGGUUUGAUUCAAAUGAACCGGUUCCGUUUCAAAUGAGUUGAUUUUUGGACCGGAUGGGAACUUGUGAUUUUGUAUGGUUCGGUUUCAUAAUAAAUUCAGUUUUAUUUACUUGAGCCGAGAAUCUAUGAUUUUAAGAGUUUCAAUGAAUUUUAAGGAAUUGAUAUAGAUUAACCUUCCCUAAAGACUUG
rnacentral:lncRNA from 1 species